rnacentral:lncRNA from 1 species
CUUCUCUCCACCCACUUCUUACCAAGAACUCUCUCCCUUGAAGGUGAACAACUUAAAGCCUGAGCUCAGAGAGUUACCCGAAAAGUGAUUUGAGUAUUUAUUGAACUGAAAGAACAAAUUACCUACUUCAGGCGGUGGGAAGCGUAUGGAAAUUAUAUUAGAACUUCAGCAAAGUGCACAGCCGCAUAAUACAGAAGCCGAGACUCAGAUUGACAGGCAAAUAAGCCAGCUCGUGGAAGGGGCCUCUGGGUGGCAGCUCUGGGCUAUUGGGUGUUGGACAACCAUAGGCAAACUGAAAUGGAACAGGGGCAGAAAAUAGCACACUUUAACGCUGCGCAACCGUUGCUUUCUCAUGGUCAUUAGGAAUUUUGUUGGGAUAAUCCUCCAAAUGAAUUAGAAGCAUUCUAUUCAAAUGUCUACAGAUGCACGGCUGGUGGUGUGGCUCAGACGGAGCAAGGGUUACAUCAAGGCUGUUCUCUGGACCGUGCAAACAGUCUAGACCAAUGACCUGCAGCAUCAUGCCCUUUGAAGAAGAGGCAAGUUCGGUCAUGAUGAAGAAAAAUCAAGGCGUACCCCUUUUAACAAUAGGGAGCAGCUCGAGGCUGCAAAGAGGUUAUUUAUCAUUAAAAUGGCAUUGUAAAGUGAUGACUCAGAAGUUAACAGUAAGUCUUAAUUAUUUGAAAGAAGUGUCAUUUUAAUAUUGUACUAUAACAAGUCAUACCAUAUGUGGUAAUUUUUUUUUCCCGUCUAAUUUUGUAUGUUAGUGUAAAGCAUAGAAUGUGACCAGAACUCUUAGACCUCAAAGUAUAUUUUUCAGUGAAGCCAAAAUAUUUUUACUAAACUAUCCUAGUCAAUAAUUUUUGGAUUUGGCAAGUUUCAGUGCAGUCCUGUUUUUGAGAAAAGUCAAUGAAAGUAUUUCCCUUCUAAUUCAAUAACCUUUUUAUCCUGAAACCAUUUUUCCUUUUGGUGCAAAUACUUACAAAGUCAGUAUUUUGACAGUAACAAUAAUAUAUUAUGUUAUUUUUUUCUGUGCUGAAAAUAGUUAAUGAUUAGGCUGGACUUACGCAUCUGUCAGCCAGAAGACCUACUUAUUAAACCAAAUGAAAUAGGUGUGAUUAAAAUCCUUUCUUUUUUUAUUGAGUUAUAUGACCCUGGUUAGCUAUACAUUUACAUCUAAUAUGUAUAUAUUACUGUUGCUGUUUCAAAUUAUGAAUCUUCAUGUUUUUAAUAAACUAUUUUAAUCACCC